UACGGGGGGGGCAAGCGUUGUUCGGAAUUACUGGGCGUAAAGGGCUCGUAGGCGGCCAACUAAGUCAGACGUGAAAUCCCUCGGCUUAACCGGGGAACUGCAUCUGAUACUGGAUGGCUUGAGUUCGGGAGAGGGAUGUGGAAUUCUAGGUGUAGCGGUGAAAUGCGUAGAUAUCUGGAGGAACACCGGUGGCGAAGGCGGCAUUCUGGACUGCAACUGACACUGAGGAACGAAAGCCAGGGGAGCAAACGGG
rnacentral:rRNA from 1 species